UACGAAGGGGCUAGCGUUGCUCGGAAUUACUGGGCGUAAAGCGCACGUAGGCGGCUUCUAAGUCGGGGUGAAAUCCUGGAGCUCAACUCCAGAACUGCCUUCGAUACUGGAGAGCUUGAGUCGGGAGAGGUGAGUGGAACUGCGAGUGUAGAGGUGAAAUUCGUAGAAUAUUCGCAAGAACACCAGUGGCGAAGGCGGCUCAGCUGGCCCGG
rnacentral:rRNA from 1 species